rnacentral:lncRNA from 1 species
CAAUAGGCAUAGUAACAUAGAUUACAAAUUCGAUGGGAAACUAUUAAGACAGUUGUGUGCAUGGCAAUAAAAAUAUCUUUUCUGACUACUUCAUUAAGAGCAGACCAUGAGGACAGUGGGGUGGGGGGCGGGAGGCAGGAAGGGAGCAAGAGUGGAAACAUAGAAUCCCUUUAGAAAGCUUUUUGUAGUUGUCACUAAAAAAUUCCCCAGCUCUGUGGAGCCAGAAUCUCCCAGUCUUCUGGUUAUUCAUAAAUGAAGAAUCUUUUAGCAGAUUUAUAUGACUUCGGUCAGAGUUGUCUGAAAGUAGGCAUCUGAUAGUAAUGGCAUGAAUCCAAAAAAUCUACGGCCGAAGAUGACUGAGAAAACUCAUACGUCUUAUUUUAAGAUCACUGAUCCAGUUAGAAAUCAUAUGUCUUUACGGUAUGAAAUAUAAGUCAAGGGACCUGUUUUAUGACCCAGCAUAUCGGUAAAUUGGAUCUUAACCUGAAUAGCUCUCCACCACCUCCAAGUAGAUGGUUAUCAUAUUUCAUCCAUCUUUCCUAGCUACUUGCGGCAGAAGCAUUGUCUGCCACAAGCAUGGGUGCCCCUAAGUGGAAGUCUCCAAAGUAACCAUUCACUUACUUUAAAAAUGGGCCCCUUAAGGAACUUAAGUAUAAUGUUUUGAUUGUCAGGAAAUACACACUAAGCCAGCAACUCAGAGAGGAUACAAUCUGGGCUUCCACAUUACUUCUAAUUCCUUGUAUUGUAUCAUAACUAAUGUAUGUCUAUCAUUUCUUAAAGAUCAUAUAAAGUUUGUGAAAAAAUAAAAUUAAUAAAAUACCAUGUUUGCUCAUUGAGUUUUAGAAAAUUUUUUAGAAACAUUUAAAACAACUUUUUAAAAUGCUUAAUUAAAUGGAGAGUUUUAAAUGUACUUAAUAAAGAUAUCUUUUUUCUGACAUAUACAAGUAUGUAAGGAAUAAGACUGACUUGAAGCAUCACAGUGACAUAAGAAA